UACGUAGGGAGCGAGCGUUGUCCGGAUUCAUUGGGCGUAAAGAGCUCGUAGGCGGCUUGGCAAGUCGGGUGUGAAAACUCCAGGCUCAACCUGGAGACGCCACCCGAUACUGCCAUGGCUAGAGUCCGGCAGGGGACCACGGAAUUCCUGGUGUAGCGGUGAAAUGCGCAGAUAUCAGGAGGAACACCGGUGGCGAAGGCGGCGAUCUGGGAAGAUACUGACGCUGAGGUGCGAAAGCGUGGGGAGCAAACAGG
rnacentral:rRNA from 1 species